rnacentral:tRNA from 1 species
GGAGAUGUAGCUCAGUGACAGAGCUCUUACUUAGCAUAUGUGAGGUCCUGGGUUCAAUCCCCAGUAUCUCUC